GAUGAACGCUGGCGGCGUGCCUAAUACAUGCAAGUCGAGCGAACAGAUGAGGAGCUUGCUCUUUUUACGUUAGCGGCGGACGGGUGAGUAACACGUGGAUAACCUGCCUUUAAGAGUGGGAUAACUACUGGAAACCGUAGCUAAUACCGGAUAACAUAGUGAAACACAUGGUUCAUUAGUGAAAGGCGGCUUUGCUGUCACUUAUGGAUGGAUCCCCGCGGUAUUAGCUAGUUGGUAAGUUAACGGCUUACCAAGGCAACGAUCCGUAGCCGACCGGAGAGGGUGAUCGGCCACACUGGAACUGAGACAGGGUCAAGACUCCUCAGGGAGGCAGCAGUAGGGAAUCUUCCGCAAUGGGCGAAAGCCUGACGGAGCAACGCCGCGUGAGUGAUGAAGGUCUUCGGAUCGUAAACCUCUGUUAUCAGGGAAGAACAAAUGUGUAAGUAACUGUGCACACCUUGACGGUACCUGAUCAGAAAGCCACGGCUAACUACGUG
rnacentral:rRNA from 1 species